UACGAAGGGGGCUAGCGUUGUUCGGAAUUACUGGGCGUAAAGCGCGCGCAGGCGGUCUUCCAAGUCAGUGGUGAAAGCCCGGAGCUCAACUCCGGAACUGCCAUUGAAACUGUUAGACUCGAGGAUGAGAGAGGUGAGUGGAAUUCCCAGUGUAGAGGUGAAAUUCGUAGAGAUGUGGAGGAACACCGAUGGCGAAGGCAGCCCCCUGGGUCAACACUGACGCUCAUGCACGAAAGCGUGGGGAUCAAACAGG
rnacentral:rRNA from 1 species